rnacentral:rRNA from 1 species
GACGAACGCUGGCGGCGUGCUUAACACAUGCAAGUCGAACGAAGUGGCGCACGGGUGAAUAACGCGUAAUAAACCUGCCCUUCAGAGGGGGACAACAGUUGGAAACGACUGCUAAUACCGCAUAAUGAAGGAGGGGAUUGAGUCUGAUGAGCUAGUUGGAGGGGUAACGGCCCACCAAGGCGAGGAUAAGUAGCCGGGCUGAGAGGAUGAACGGCCACAGUGGGACUGGGACACGGCCCAGACUCCUACGGGAGGCAGCAGUGGGGAAUCGUCCGCAAUGGACGAAAGUCGGACGGAGCAACUCCGCGUGAGUGAUGACGGCCUUCGGGUUGUAAAGCUCUGUUAAUCGGGACGCGGUACCGGAAUAGAAAGCCACGGCUAACUACGUGCCAGCAGCCGCGGUAAUUC